rnacentral:rRNA from 1 species
UUGAACGGCUGGCGGCAGGCCUAACACAUGCAAGUUCGAGCGCGAAAACACUUCGGUGUGAGUAGAGCGGCGGACGGGUGAGUAAUGCUUGGGAAUCUGCCCAGUAGUGGGGGAUAACGUGUGGAAACGCACGCUAAUACCGCAUACGUCCUACGGGAGAAAGCAGGGGAUCUUCGGACCUUGCGCUAUUGGAUGAGCCCAAGUCGGAUUAGCUAGUUGGUGGGGUAAUGGCCUACCAAGGCGACGAUCCGUAGCUGGUCUGAGAGGAUGAUCAGCCACACUGGGACUGAGACACGGCCCAGACUCCUACGGGAGGCAGCAGUGGGGAAUAUUGCACAAUGGGCGAAAGCCUGAUGCAGCCAUGCCGCGUGUGUGAAGAAGGCUCUAGGGUUGUAAAGCACUUUCAGUAGGGAGGAAAAGCUUGAGGUUAAUAACCUUGAGCCCUGACGUUACCUACAGAAGAAGCACCGGCAAACUCCGUGCCAGCAGCCGCGGUAAUACGGAGGGUGCGAGCGUUAAUCGGAAUUACUGGGCGUAAAGCGCGCGUAGGUGGUUUGAUAAGCUAGCUGUGAAAGCCCCGGGCUCAACCUGGGAACUGCAGUUAGAACUGUCUGACUAGAGUACAGUAGAGGGUGGCGGAAUUUCCUGUGUAGCGGUGAAAUGCGUAGAUAUAGGAAGGAACAUCAGUGGCGAAGGCGGCCACCUGGACUGAUACUGA